AAGAAAUUCGCUUAAUAGAAAAAGCACCUGCCUAAAAGGUGGGAGAAUAGGUGUGCAAAUCACUUAUUUCUUA
rnacentral:tRNA from 1 species